CUCAUUAUGUUUAAUUUGGUCCGUAUACAUAAUACAUGUGGACGUUAAUAAGGGAACGUCAAGGACAACUGUCUUAUACUAGUAAAACAGGCUGGUGGUGUGUCUCAUACCUCAUCAGUCUUAUACUAGUAAAACAGGCUGGUGGUGUGUCUCAUACCUCAUCAGGUUACUACCAGAGUGUAGGAUCGUACAGGAAACACUGGGGUGGUAUCAUAUCUAACGAUGUACAGUAACCCGACAUACUAAUGAGUUCACAGAAAACAUCCGGGCUUUAGAAUGACGGUAUUAUGGUCAACUUUCUUAUUAUAGCGGUGGUGGUGUUAUGUUCGACAGUGGAGCCCGCAACAUACUUAGGAACAACGCAAUUUCCGUUCCCGAGCUACUGUAUCUGUCAGGUGACCAGUACUUCCGGUAAUACGGCGUCCAUAGUUCACGAGACCGACACAUUAAGCGGAGUGACCCCCGCCUUGUCAUACACUAUGUUUAGUGUCACGUUCAGCAUUGACGCCGACCUGGGAUACUGUGUGGUGGAAAGAUUAUUAAGAGAACGAUUCCCAUCAUUUAAGGACGUAGAUACGACAGAUUUAGAAACACACCAGGACCUGUUCCGGGCAGUGUCGUCAAUACAGUUUACGACUCUGUCAUACACAGACGCAUGUAUAGCGUACAUACUUUAUCCGUACUGAACGCGUUCAAUAUACUGUAAACCAACUUAUUUUUGCGGCGUCUUAAUUUCACAUUUUCAUGACUAACGACUUUUUCGCAGUGAUUAAUUUCACGAAUAUUUAAUCAUCCGCAAUACACGCGAAGAUUAAUCGCACGCGAAAAUAAGUUGGUUUACAGUAACCACAUAUUACCGAUACAACAUAUAACAUUCAUGGUUAUAUAUUUAGUGUAUUUAUUAAAAGUUGAUCACCUUUCUGCCUGGUUAUAACACGGAGUUUAUCUUACACUCUUGACUGUGUAGUAUGGAAUUUAUCUUACACUCUUGACUGUGUUGUAUGGAAUUUAUCUUACACUCUUGACUGUGUUGUAUGGAAUUUAUCUUACACUCUUGACUGUGUUGUAUGGAAUUUAUCUUACACUCUUGACUGUGUAGUAUUGAAUUUAUCUUACACUCUUGACUGUGUUGUAUUUAAUUUAUCUUACACUCUUGACUGUGUUGUAUGGAAUUUAUCUUACACUCUUGACUAUGUAGUAUUGAAUUUUUCUUACACUAUUGACUAUGUAAUAUUGAAUUUAUCUUACACUCUUGACUAUGUAGUAUUGAAUUUAUCUUACACUCUUGACUGUGUUGUAUGGAAUGUAUCUUACACUCUUGACUGUGUUGUAUGGAAUUUAUCUUACACUCUUGACUGUGUUGUAUGGAAUUUAUCUUACACUCUUGACUGUGUUGUAUGGAAUUUAUCUUACACUCAUGACUAUGCAGUAUUAAAUUCAUCUUUCACUCGUAACUAUGCAGUAUUGAAUUUAUCUUACACUCGUAACUUUGUUGUAUUAAUUUUUUCUUUCACUCGUAACUAUGUUGCUUGGAAUUUAUCUUUAACUCGUAACUAUGCAGUACAUUUGUAUGUAAUUUAUCUUACACUCAUGACUAUGCAGUAUUAACUUUAUAUUUCACUCGUAACUAUGCGGUUUGGAAUUUAUCUUACACUCAUAACUAUGUUGUAUGGAAUUUAUUCCACAUAGGUUCACCGAGUGACCUCAGGUUCGGCAUUACUUUUUAAUUGUGUGACGUCACUUCGAAAACCCUUCUGUUUGUUUUUAUGUAUAAUAACAUUCACAAAUGCACUGUAUCAUUUUUUUCUAUGUGAUUUGAAAAAAAAUUGUGAUCAUUGACCUAUAAAUUCAGUCACAUUGUUACUGUUUGUUGAUAAUUUAUUUUUAUUUACAGCGGAAGACUAGAUAGUUUUCGUUGUGUAAGCAAGCGUAGGCGAAGGAAUAUGACGUGAUGUCAAACAUCAGUCGGCAGUUUCCGGAAAGCCGAUCACCUCUGACAGACAUUAAUAUAUAUUUGUUGUUAACUUGACACUUUGACAGUCAACUUAUUUUUCAUGGUAUACCGUACUUUUUCUCAUCUUUCCAAGUAUGUAAUUAGUUUUAUUGUCGGUCACCGAGAAAAUAUGCCAAGUUUCUAUAUGGUUUCGCCAUGUUGGAUCAAUUUCCCGAUGCAUUUUACGAAGAAGGUGUGAGAAAAAUAGUCCAUCAUAUGUUAGGUAUGUGGGAUUAUGAUCAUGAUAUAUUUGUCAUGAAGCAUAUACGUGGCAAUGCUGCUUAUAUCAUAAUAAAAUUUAUCGUAUGAUUGGUA